ACAAUGAAGAGUUUGAUCCUGGCUCAGGAUGAACGCUAGCUACAGGCUUAACACAUGCAAGUCGAGGGGCAGCAUGAAAGUUUGCUUGCAAACUUUUGAUGGCGACCGGCGCACGGGUGAGUAACACGUAUCCAACCUGCCUCAUACUCGGGGAUAGCCUUUCGAAAGAAAGAUUAAUACCCGAUGUCAUAGUCCUACCGCAUGAUGGGAUUAUUAAAGAAUUUCGGUAUGGGAUGGGGAUGCGUUCCAUUAGUUAGUUGGCGGGGUAACGGCCCACCAAGACAACGAUGGAUAGGGGUUCUGAGAGGAAGGUCCCCCACAUUGGAACUGAGACACGGUCCAAACUCCUACGGGAGGCAGCAGUGAGGAAUAUUGGUCAAUGGACGAGAGUCUGAACCAGCCAAGUAGCGUGAAGGAUGACUGCCCUAUGGGUUGUAAACUUCUUUUAUAUGGGAAUAAAAUGUUCCACGUGUGGGAUUUUGUAUGUACCAUAUGAAUAAGGAUCGGCUAACUCCGUGCCAGCAGCCGCGGUAAUACGGAGGA
rnacentral:rRNA from 1 species